GACCCGGUAGUCAAGCGGUUAGACAGCGGUCUGCAAAACCGUUCAGGUGGGUUCAACUCCCACCCGGGUCUCAA
rnacentral:tRNA from 1 species